ACUGUUCGGCUUCUCGCACAAACCGAUCGUUUCGUUUCUUAGGAUAUCAAUGUGUCGUCACGAGCGGCAGGGUUUAAUUUGGAUUUGUCUGUGCAUGUUUUUACUGUCUGAGAUUUUGUUACUAUUCACAUGCAUACAGACUGAAACGGUUGGAGUUUCUACAUUUGUGUUGUACUGAAGAAACAAAAUCACAUACAUCUUGGAUGGCCUCGGGGUAAGCUGAUAAAUACAAAAAAUUCAUUUUAAGAUGAAUCCCGUACGUUGGCGGCUGUUUUAAACUGGGUGCUCGGCUCAGACCCUUUUGCCAGUAUGAAGCCGAUUUCAACGGUAACUGCAGAAAGCGUCAGCACGCUCAGCUCAUCACUGGAGUAACGUCUGUACAACGGGUGAGAUAAAACUCAACGCCUGACUGAAUCAUCCAUUCCCUUUUCGAUCCUACGCCAUACGUUAAACUUGAGGUAAUCUUGCUUUUGCUGUUCUAAAAUAAACACUGCUCUUAGCACACCACCCAUACAUGGCACACAAAACAGGUCUUGUGAGGGGGCUGUGCCCACAGGUAGAAAUUCUGUAGGUCCACGGGCUUCUCCCCUUUCAGCGAACAUCACAGCGCUUAGUCCACCAUCGUGGUCUCCAAUCUCCAUUACCAACAGCCUGAGUGCUACACCUACAGACACCCCAACCCAUGCAGCAGCUGGCAGAAGUCAGACAUCAGGCCAAACUGGAUUUCAACACACCCCACCCUUACAUGGCACACAAGUAUAUGACACACAACACAGGUCUUCUCAGGAGGCUGUGCCUACAGCAAUAGGCUUUAUGCCCAGCUGCACUACUUCCUGAACUUCAGCCAGCUCCUUGUUUCCUGUCUGCCAUUAUUGGACAAACUGAUUAAUCCAGGUGUGCCUGAGCUUAGUAGUCACAACAACAAUAAUCAGACACACCUGGAUUUAUCAGUUUGUCCAGUAAUGGCAGACAGGAAACAAGGAGCUUAAAGCCUAUUGCUAAGGAGAUCCUCAUCCAGCUCGAUUUUAUUAGAGAGCAGCAGUUGCAGACUUCACCCCAGACCCAACACAUUUUGGGCUCCCACUUUCAACUAUUGAGGAGCUACAAUGUUUGUAGGAGACAUUAAAUAAUCCAGAUGAGAAGAAGAAUUUGGUGAGACUGUGUUUCCUGCAAUGGUCGGAGACAAGACUCUUAAAGACACCGUGGGGUGGGUCCUGAAAAAAACAAUGAACUCUUCGUGGUGAGACUCAUCAAUUGAAGUGGGGUCAACUGAACGCCUGCAUUCAAAGGGCUCACUUUGAAAAGUGUGGUUUUGGAUGCAGUCCGCCGGAAUGCCCUGACCAAAGAUAACACAGAAAAGGAGAUAGAGCUCCUCAUCACCAGGUGGUCGGUGCUAGCAUAUGACAGGGAUGGUGGCCGAAUCCAGACAAUAGACAGACAAUGAAUUAAAAUGUUUUAAAUUUAAAAAUGUUGAUUUUUGGAAAAUUCGUAUUUGAACUGAUUGUGUGUGUGUGUGCACCUGGUAAUUAUCACGUUGUGUCCCCACAAAGAUAGGAAUACCAGUAUUUUUGUGACCUUGUGUCCCCAUGAGGAAACAAGCUUAUAAAUCAAACAAAAUGAUGUUUCUUGUAAAUGUGAAGUAGGAGAAGGGUUUCUGUGAUGGUUGGGUUUAGGGAAUGGGGUAGGUAAGGGGAAUAAAAUAUACAGUUUGUAUGGUAUAAAAUGCAUUACGUCUAUGGAAUGUCCCCACAAAACAUGGAAACCUGUUUGUGUGUACGAGAGAGAGAGAAUGUGUGUUCAAGUGAAUAAAAAAUGCAUUAAACGUGAAA